AGAGUUUGAUCAUGGCUCAGGACGAACGCUGGCGGCGUGCCUAACACAUGCAAGUCGAGCGGGGUGGUUCUGAAGGGCAACCGGAGGGAUCACCUAGCGGCGAACGGGUGAGUAACGCGUGGAUAACCUACCUCAAGGUCUGGGAUAACAGCUCGAAAGGGCUGCUAAUACCGGAUGUGGUGCAUAUGCUGCAUGGUAGAUGCACUAAAGGGGAAACCCGCCAUGAGAUGGGUCCGCGUCCCAUCAGCUAGUUGGUGGGGUAAAGGCCUACCAAGGCGACGACGGGUAGCCGGCCUGAGAGGGUGACCGGCCACACUGGGACUGAGACACGGCCCAGACUCCUACGGGGGGCAGCAGUGGGGAAUAUUGCACAAUGGGCGAAAGCCUGAUGCAGCGACGCCGCGUGGGCGAAGAAGGCCUUCGGGUUGUAAAGCCCUGUCUGGAGGGACGAAGUAAUGACGGUACCUCCGGAGGAAGCCACGGCUAACUACGUGCCAGCAGCCGCGGUAAUACGUAGGUGGCGAGCGUUGUCCGGAAUUACUGGGCGUAAAGGGUGCGUAGGCGGCCCUUUAAGUCAGAUGUGAAAGCCCGCAGCUUAACUGCGGAAUUGCAUUUGAAACUGGAGGGCUUGAGUGUCGGAGAGGGUAGUGGAAUUCCCAGUGUAGCGGUGAAAUGCGUAGAUAUUGGGAGGAACACCAGUGGCGAAGGCGACUGCCUGGACGAUAACUGACGCUGAGGCACGAAAGCUAGGGGAGCAAACAGGAUUAGAUACCCUGGUAGUCCUAGCCGUAAACGAUGGGUACUANGUGUAGGUGGUUUCGAUACCAUCUGUGCCGUANUUAACGCAUUAAGUACCCCGCCUGGGGAGUACGUGCGCAAGCAUGAAACUCAAAGGAAUUGACGG
rnacentral:rRNA from 1 species